AACGCUGUUUUUACAUCCAUUUUCUCUAGAUGCAAAUUCUCCGAUGCAACAACACUCAACAGAAUUUGAAUAGAGGUUAACUUCACAACAGGAGAGAAUAUUUCAGCAUAAUCAAUACCUUUCCUUUGUGAAUAUCCUUUAACCACUAAACGAGCCUUGAACCUUCUUUUUCCAUCUGGUUCAGUCUUGAUUCUGAACAUCCAUUUGUUCAGCAAAGCUCUCUUCCCUGCAGGUAACUCAGUCAACACCUAUGUGUCGUUCUUCUCAAGUGA
rnacentral:misc_RNA from 1 species